rnacentral:rRNA from 1 species
CUAACAAGGAUUCCCCUAGUAACUGCGAGUGAAGCGGGAAAAGCUCAAAUUUAAAAUCUGGCAGUCUUUGGUUGCCCGAGUUGUAAUCUAGAGAAGUGUUAUCCGUGCUGGACCGUGUACAAGUCUCCUGGAAUGGAGCGUCAUAGAGGGUGAGAAUCCCGUCUUUGACACGGACUGCCAGGACUUUGUGAUGCGCUCUCAAAGAGUCGAGUUGUUUGGGAAUGCAGCUCUAAAUGGGUGGUAAAUUCCAUCUAAAGCUAAAUAUUGGCGAGAGACCGAUAGCGAACAAGUACCGUGAGGGAAAGAUGAAAAGAACUUUGGAAAGAGAGUUAAACAGUACGUGAAAUUGUUGAAAGGGAAACGCUUGAAGUCAGUCACGUUGGCCAGGGAUCAACCUUGCUUUUCUGCUUGGUGUACUUUCUGGUUGAUGGGUCAGCAUCAAUUUUGACCAGUGGAAAAAGGUCAGGGGAAUGUGGCAUCUUCGGAUGUGUUAUAGCCCUUGGUUGCAUACAUUGGUUGGGAUUGAGGAACUCAGCAUGCCGUAAGGUCGGGUAAUUUUACCACGUUCGUGCUUAGGAUGCUGGCAUAAUGGCUUU